UACGAAGGGGGCGAGCGUUGUUCGGAAUUACUGGGCGUAAAGGGCGCGUAGGCGGUGUGUCAAGUCAGGCGUGAAAGCCCCGGGCUCAACCUGGGAACGGCGCUUGAGACUGGCAUGCUCGAGUUCGGGAGAGGAUGGUGGAAUUCCCAGUGUAGAGGUGAAAUUCGUAGAUAUUGGGAAGAACACCGAUGGCGAAGGCAGCCAUCUGGACCGACACUGACGCUGAGGCGCGAAAGCGUGGGGAGCAAACAGG
rnacentral:rRNA from 1 species